CGCUCGAGGCAGGCAAGGUCUCAGGAGGGUAAGGAGUUCCCUUUAUUUAUGGAACAAAGAGUGUGAAGGAAUUGACUAACCUGUGAAGUGCCGCUCAGACGCCCCUCCGAGAAUGGAGGUCUGGGCAGCUGUGUGCCCGCCUGCAGUGACUGACAGACAGGAGGGCUGCCUCAGGCCAACUGAGGACAGUGCUGAAGGGUCUUCUCCACGCAGAGCUACCCGCUGGGCCUCUGUCCUCUCACCCAACCUGCUGCCCUGCCUCUCCUCUCACAAGAGCGGCUCCUGAGAGCAACUCGAGUGAACUUCCGGCCCGCGCGUCUCCCCUGGAGUCAGCUUCCUGGGGAACGCAACCUGCCACAGGUGUGCCCCUUUCACUCCGCACAACAGCUCUGGGAAGAGUGGAAGAUGAGGAGGAGGAUCUCUGUCUAACAGGGCAAAUGGAAAAUAUGUUUUAACAUAUCAUCAAUGAGAAGACUGAUGACCAUGGAGGUGAAUUUGAAGUCAUCAGGUGCUCUGGUGCCCAGUGAUGUGGCAAGAUACUUGGGGUGUACAAAGGAAGGGGGAAAAGUACAACUGAAGAUUUCAUAGUCCAAGCAAGAACAGGCUUUUGCACAUGCUGUUUCUUCUUCCUGGAACGCUCCACAUUUGCUUAACAGAACUGCUCAUGUUCUCUCUUAAGAUAUUAAUGGGGUGUCACCUCCUCCAGGAAGCCUUCUGAAACCUAAAUAAAUAAACCAAUCCUGAAUAUUCAUUGGAAGGACUGACACUGAAGUUGAAGUUCCAAUGCUUUGGCCACCUGAUACGAAGAGCCGACUUACUGGAAAAGACCCUGAUGCUGGGAAAGAUUGAGGGCAGAAGAAGAAGAGGGCAACAGAAGAUGAGAUGGUUGGAUGGCAUCAUCGACUUAAUGGACACUGAGUUUGAGAAAAUUCCAGGAGAUGGUAAAGGACAGGGAAGCCUGACAUGCUGCAGUCCAUAGGGUCACAAAGAGUUGGACAGGACUUGGCGACUGAACAACCACCACCAAUACUUUCCCUAUCAUAGCAUUAAUCACACCAUACUCUAAUUAUCUUACUUAUUUGUCCUUCACUAAUAAAAACAAUCAGCCAAAGCUGGCUUAGUGGUUAAUAUGAGUUAGGUACUGCACCAGGCUUAUGACAGAGAUUAUUUCACUUAAUAGCACAGUAAUUCUAUAAGGUGAUAUCUCCAUUUUAUAAAUGGAAAAACAGGCUCAGAGAGGUUAAAUACCUUGACCAAGAUAACAAAGAUAUUACAUCCAGUAAGUGGCAGGGCCAUAUUUAGAAUCCAGAUCUGCCUACACGAUCUUAACCACCAUGCUACAUCACAUCCCCUUCCAUGUGCCGGGCUUCAG
ensembl:lncRNA